rnacentral:misc_RNA from 1 species
CGAGCCCUGCCGUGGUCGU